rfam:Aedes aegypti strain Liverpool supercont1.4 genomic scaffold, whole genome shotgun sequence.
AUUGCAUUGACGGCACCGUCUCAACAGGCCGGUCGGAGUGUGGGGUAAGAUCGUUGGGUCCUUGUGCGCGAUUGCCGGUGUACUUACGAUUGCCCUGCCGGUACCGGUCAUCGUCAGCAAC